UACGUAGGGUGCGAGCGUUGUCCGGAAUUACUGGGCGUAAAGAGCUCGUAGGUGGUUUGUCGCGUUGUUCGUGAAAACCGGGGGCUUAACCCUCGGCGUGCGGGCGAUACGGGCAGACUUGAGUACUGCAGGGGAGACUGGAAUUCCUGGUGUAGCGGUGGAAUGCGCAGAUAUCAGGAAGAACACCGGUGGCGAAGGCGGGUCUCUGGGCAGUAACUGACGCUGAGGAGCGAAAGCGUGGGGAGCGAACAGG
rnacentral:rRNA from 1 species